rnacentral:rRNA from 1 species
UACAGGGGGGGCAAGCGUUGUUCGGAAUUACUGGGCGUAAAGGGUUCGUAGGUGGCCAACUAAGUCAGACGUGAAAUCCCUCAGCUUAACUGGGGAACUGCGUCUGAUACUGGAUGGCUUGAGUGUAGGAGAGGAAUGCGGAAUUCCAGGUGUAGCGGUGAAAUGCGUAGAUAUCUGGAGGAACACCGGUGGCGAAGGCGACUACCUGGCCUGUUUCUUGACGCUGAGGCGCGAAAGCUAGGGGAGCAAACGGG